GAAAACUAUAAGCGUAAGCUUAAAACUCAAAGGGUCUGGCGGCACUUUAAACUAUCUAGAGGAGCCUGUCCUAUAAUCGAUAAUCCCCGCUAAACCUCACCUUCUUUUGCAACUGUUCAGUCUGUAUACCGCCGUCGUCAGCUUUCCCUCUAAAGGAUAAAUAAGUAAGCAAAACUGGUCUCACCCAAAACGUCAGGUCAAGGUGCAACUCACAAGAAGGUAAGAGAUGGGCUACAUUUCCUAUACAGGAAACACGAAUAGCGUAUUGAAACAUAUGCAUUGAAGGUGGAUUUAGCAGUAAACAAAAAACAGAGUGUUUU
rnacentral:rRNA from 1 species